GUGCACCAGGCGAGAAACUUCGCAAUGCGCGAAAGCGCGACGAGGGGAUUCCAAGUGCAUGCACUAAGUGUAUGCUUUUCGUGAGUUUAAAACGCUCACGGAAUAAGGGCUGGGUAAGACUGGUGCCAGCCGCCGCGGUAAUACCAGCGGCCCUAGUGGUGAUCGUUAUUAUUGGGCCUAAAGCGUCCGUAGCCGGUCCGGUAAAUCUCUGGGUAAAUCGUUGGGCUUAACUCAGCGAAUUCUGGGGAGACUGCUGGACUUGGGACCGGGAGAGGUCGGAGGUACUCCAGGGGUAGGGGUGAAAUCCUGUAAUCCUUGGGGGACCACCGGUGGCGAAGGCGUCCGACCAGAACGGGUCCGACGGUAAGGGACGAAGCCCUGGGGCGCGAACCGGAUUAGAUA
rnacentral:rRNA from 1 species